rnacentral:rRNA from 1 species
CGGGUGGUAAUGCCGGAUGUUCCAGUUGAUCGCAUGGUCUUCUGGGAAAGCUUUCGCGGUAUGGGAUGGGGUCGCGUCCUAUCAGCUUGACGGCGGGGUAACGGCCCACCGUGGCUUCGACGGGUAGCCGGCCUGAGAGGGCGACCGGCCACAUUGGGACUGAGAUACGGCCCAGACUCCUACGGGAGGCAGCAGUGGGGAAUAUUGCACAAUGGGCGCAAGCCUGAUGCAGCGACGCCGCGUGAGGGAUGGAGGCCUUCGGGUUGUAAACCUCUUUUAUCGGGGAGCAAGCGUGAGUGAGUUUACCCGUUGAAUAAGCACCGGCUAACUACGUGCCAGCAGCCGCGGUAAUACGUAGGGUGCAAGCGUUAUCCGGAAUUAUUGGGCGUAAAGGGCUCGUAGGCGGUUCGUCGCGUCCGGUGUGAAAGUCCAUCGCUUAACGGUGGAUCCGCGCCGGGUACGGGCGGGCUUGAGUGCGGUAGGGGAGACUGGAAUUCCCGGUGUAACGGUGGAAUGUGUAGAUAUCGGAAAAGAACACCA